GAACAACAGCUGAGAUCCUCCGAGUGCUGAGCGUUCAGGUAGGGAGAGCAGUUUGUCCAGGGCUACUGACUCAUGGCCCAUAUGAGGCAUCGGCUGCAUGAAGCCUUUUUCAGUGUCUUCAUGCAGAGACUGUUUACUGCCACUCAGAGAGUGCAGCAAGGGCAGUGGCAGCCGGAGACGACGUCGUCUUGCUGAGGAAAUACCCAAGGAAAUUUGCUGAAGCAUCAUUAUCCUUCAAAGUUCCCUCAGAGGAGUUCUCCGGGUGUCCUUCCAGCAGGAUGCUCAUUCUGAGGCCUCCUGAGAUUGUGUAGAUCCACUUGAUCAAAUCCAAGACCUGUGAAGAGAUAAUGUCAAGCAUCCAAGGCCUUUGAGGACAGCACAUACACUUAAUGCCCUUCACUGAACAUUUUUUUGGAAGUACACUAUAUAACUGCAGGUUAAAUAUGUUCAUGUACGAUGUCUGCCCGAUACACAUCUUCUUAUCUUUUUCUGAUUUUGAUUUGAA
rnacentral:lncRNA from 1 species